rnacentral:rRNA from 1 species
GAUGAACGCUGGCGGCGUGCUUAACACAUGCAAGUCGAACGAUGAAGCCCAGCUUGCUGGGUGGAUUAGUGGCGAACGGGUGAGUAACACGUGAGUAACCUGCCCUUAACUCUGGGAUAAGCCUGGGAAACUGGGUCUAAUACCGGAUAGGAGCGUCCACCGCAUGGUGGGUGUUGGAAAGAUUUAUCGGUUUUGGAUGGACUCGCGGCCUAUCAGCUUGUUGGUGAGGUAAUGGCUCACCAAGGCGACGACGGGUAGCCGGCCUGAGAGGGUGACCGGCCACACUGGGACUGAGACACGGCCCAGACUCCUACGGGAGGCAGCAGUGGGGAAUAUUGCACAAUGGGCGAAAGCCUGAUGCAGCGACGCCGCGUGAGGGAUGACGGCCUUCGGGUUGUAAACCUCUUUCAGUAGGGAAGAAGCGAAAGUGAUGGUACCUGCAGAAGAAGCACCGGCUAACUACGUG